AAUCCCUGCUUUCAAGGAGCUUAUGAUUUCAUGGGAAGUCGUGCCUCAACUUCCCAUGAGAUCGUGAGCUCCUUGAAGGCAGAGAUU
rnacentral:pre_miRNA from 1 species